rnacentral:rRNA from 1 species
GNGNUGCNAUNAUGCAGUCGAACGAACUCUGGUAUUGAUUGGUGCUUGCAUCAUGNUUUACAUUUGAGUGAGUGGCGAACUGGUGAGUAACACGUGGGAAACCUGCCCAGAAGCGGGGGAUAACACCUGGAAACAGAUGCUAAUACCGCAUAACAACUUGGACCGCAUGGUCCGAGYUUGAAAGAUGGCUUCGGCUAUCACUUUUGGAUGGUCCCGCGGCGUAUUAGCUAGAUGGUGRGGUAACGGCUCACCAUGGCAAUGAUACGUAGCCGACCUGAGAGGGUAAUCGGCCACAUUGGGACUGAGACACGGCCCAAACUCCUACGGGAGGCAGCAGUAGGGAAUCUUCCACAAUGGACGAAAGUCUGAUGGAGCAACGCCGCGUGAGUGAAGAAGGGUUUCGGCUCGUAAAACUCUGUUGUUAAAGAAGAACAUAUCUGAGAGUAACUGUUCAGGUAUUGACGGUAUUUAACCAGAAAGCCACGGCUAACUACGUGCCAGCAGCCGCGGUAAUACGUAGGUGGCAAGCGUUGUCCGGAUUUAUUGGGCGUAAAGCGAGCGCAGGCGGUUUUUUAAGUCUGAUGUGAAAGCCUUCGGCUCAACCGAAGAAGUGCAUCGGAAACUGGGAAACUUGAGUGCAGAAGAGGACAGUGGAACUCCAUGUGUAGCGGUGAAAUGCGUAGAUAUAUGGAAGAACACCAGUGGCGAAGGCGGCUGUCUGGUCUGUAACUGACGCUGAGGCUCGAAAGUAUGGGUAGCAAACAGGAUUAGAUACCCUGGUAGUCCAUACCGUAAACGAUGAAUGCUAAGUGUUGGAGGGUUUCCGCCCUUCAGUGCUGCAGCUAACGCAUUAAGCAUUCCGCCUGGGGAGUACGGCCGCAAGGCUGAACUCAAGGAAUUGACGGGGGCCCGCACAGCGGUGGAGCAUGUGGUUUAAU